rnacentral:lncRNA from 1 species
UAGGGUUGGUGUCUGGUCUCCAAAUAUAAAUAGGGGACACGCACGUCGGGGUGUUUCAUCUGAGAGUUCUAAUCUCUUCUUUCUUACAUAAGUCUCUUAAAUUGUCCAAUUAGUCUCUUCCUUCUCUUGUUAGGAUAAGUUCAAAAUAGUAAGGGCAAGUUCGAUUUUAGGACAAGGGCUUGGGAAGAGAAUUAAGGAAGACAACAAGAUAAGAAAGGUAGAGAAAGGAAAGGCUAGGAGAGGAAGAAAGCCCUGAGGUUCUGGUGCCUAGAGGAGUUCUUAGAGGAAGAAUUCAGAGAAAAGAAACAUGUCUAAAGGAGAGAGUAUCUUGAUCAAGCUCCUAUGUGGAUCAUUGUUGGAGGGCGAACACUUGGACGCCUGGUAG